UCUACGUGCUCUAACAUGCACUGCAUGUAUCAUUAGCGUAUAAAAUCUCCACCUAGAGUGUGUAUUUUACUAUUAAAAUAUAAAAUUUUACUAUUAAAAUUAAAAUACAAAAUUUUACUAUUAAAAUUAAAAUAUAAAAUUUUACUAUUAAAAGGCCACUAUCGGCUAAACCUUGAACCCAGCUGCACAUGCGGAACCCUGGAGAAGUCUCUAUCCCCUCCAAGGCAGGAAUUUGUAGCUAAUAGCUUUUUGGAUUUUUGAUGUUGAUUAGCUGGAGAUUAGGGAAGCUACAUCAUGAAUAAAGGCCUUUUGUCCUCUUUUCUGGGCUGUAUUUGGUAUCGGAAACUUGUCACCAUCAGGCAGUCUGCUGGUAUCCUGUAAGACUGUUUAUCUUGCAAGAGAGUAAAGUGCACAACAGUGUAAGGGACACAGAACCCACUGCAAAAGGAGCUCUCGAGGCUUCACACAAGAGGUAGUAAUCCUCAGACCACUACCUGAUACACCACCCGCGUGCUAAUUUUUGACUUAGAGUCUACCAUCUGGGGUAUCCAGUUUGCGACAAUGGGACCUUUUCAGAUUUAUUAGGCUGACAAGAAAGCUAUGAAGCUAUGUCAAAUGACAGGUAAACUUCACUCACUUUAAGUAUCAAUAACCUAAGGUGAAUGAAAAAGUAACGUUGGGGUGAAGUGGAAAAUACCUUAAGUGCAGAGAUUUUAUUUUUUCUUCCUAGAGAUGUGUAAGAGAUCUGAACAGACUCUUCCCUUUAUUUCAAUACUCAUGACUGGAGGUAGAAGAGGAAAAACUGGUGAAGGGGAUAAGGCUUAGAACAGAAAUUUUGGUCUCAUAUUUUACUCAUGUCUGAUAUUUUCUGACAAAUUAUUCACUCCUUGUAAUAUUCCUAUCAGGCGUACCCCACAAUCUGCUGUCUGCUCUACAUGCAUAUCUAAGAAGACAGGAAUCAUAGCCAUUUUGCUGUCUAGCACAUUCUCACAAAUCACCAUUGUACCUAACAAAAAAAGGUGGUCAGUGGCUAGAAAAUUAAAGAAUAAAUGCAAAGGAUUAACACAUGCACAGCUAACACCCAAAACACAUUAUUUGUAUUUAGAUAUUCACGUUUUCUGACAGAAACCUAGAUGUUCACCUUACAGACCUGAUCUUCUGUAUUCUCUUCUUCAUGAUGAUUAAGACCGUUCUUCCAAAAGUUACCGUAGGUAACUUUGAUACUGUUUGGCUCUGGGUCCCCAUCCAAAUCUCCCCUCCAAUUGUAAUCCUCACAUGUCAAGGGAGGGAUCUGUAAUCCUGAAUUGUGGAGGUGGGUGGGUGAUUGGAUCAUGGGGUCAGUUUUCCCCUUACUGUUCUCAUGAUAGUGAGUGAGUUCUCAUGAGAUAUGAUGAUUUUAAAAGCAUCUGGCAUUUCCCCUGCUUGCAAUUCUCUCCCCUGCCACUAUUUGAAGCAGCUCCUUGCUUCUCAUUCACCUUCUGUGAUGAUUGUAAGUUUCCUGAGGCCUCCCAAGGCAUGUGGAACUGUGAGUCGAUUAAACCUCUUUCCUUUAUAAAUUAUA
rnacentral:lncRNA from 1 species